UACGAAGGGUGCAAGCGUUAGUCGGAAUUACUGGGCGUAAAGCGUGCGUAGGCGGUUUCCUAAGUCGGAUGUGAAAGCCCUGGGCUCAACCUGGGAAUGGCACUCGAUACUGGGAAGCUGGAGUGCGGUAGAGGAGGGUGGAAUUCCCGGUGUAGCGGUGAAAUGCGUAGAGAUCGGGAGGAACAUCAGUGGCGAAGGCGGCAUCCUGGACCGGCAUUGACGCUGAGGCGCGAAAGCUAGGGGAGCAAACGGG
rnacentral:rRNA from 1 species